UACAGAGGUCCCAAGCGUUGUUCGGAUUCACUGGGCGUAGAGGGUGCGUAGGUGGCGAGGUAAGUCGGAUGUGAAAGCUCGGAGCUCAACUCCGAAAUGGCAUUGGAAACUACCUUGCUUGAGGGUUGGAGGGGGGACUGGAAUUCUCGGUGUAGCAGUGAAAUGCGUAGAUAUCGAGAGGAACACCAGUGGCGAAGGCGAGUCCCUGGACAACACCUGACACUGAGGCACGAAAGCUAGGGGAGCAAACAGG
rnacentral:rRNA from 1 species